GUGACGUCAGAUCCUGAAAUGGUUGCCGCUGCAUUUAAAAGCCACAGGUGUACGGAGUUAUUCCUGACGUGAGGCUCGUCCUGGUUCGGAUGGAAGACGCAGGCAGAAAGUGAUGGGGUUUCUGCGUACGGAGACCAGGUUGGAGUUAUCCAGCGUCACACUCCUAACACGGAAAGACAAGAUUGGUCGUCAUGAAGCUCUUCAACACAGUAAGGAACGUCUUUUUUUUUCUUCUUAUCUACGGCCGCCGUGCCGCCGCUAACCCCGUCCCCCACCCGGCCGAUGUGCCGUUGCCCCUCCC